GGGUUUGAUUCUGGCUCAGGAUGAACGCUGGCGGCGUGCUUAACACAUGCAAGUCGAACGAACCUUCGGGUUAGUGGCGGACGGGUGAGUAACGCGUGAGAAUCUGCCCUCAGGAGGGGGAUAACGGUUGGAAACGACCGCUAAUACCCCAUAUGCCGCGAGGUGAAAUGAAUUUCGCCUGAGGAUGAGCUCGCGUCUGAUUAGUUAGUUGGUGGGGUAAAGGCCUACCAAGACAUCGAUCAGUAGCUGGUCUGAGAGGAUGAUCAGCCACACUGGGACUGAGACACGGCCCAGACUCCUACGGGAGGCAGCAGUGGGGAAUUUUCCGCAAUGGGCGAAAGCCUGACGGAGCAACGCCGCGUGAGGGAUGAAGGCCUCUGGGCUGUAAACCUCUUUUAUCAAGGAAGAAGAUCUGACGGUACUUGAUGAAUAAGCCACGGCUAAUUCCGUGC
rnacentral:rRNA from 1 species